rnacentral:rRNA from 1 species
CACGUAGAUAAUCUACCUUCAAGCCUGGGAUAACUAUUCGAAAGGAUAGCUAAUACCGGAUAAAGUAAAUUAACAUAAGUUGAUAUAUGAAAGAUUGCCUCUUCUUGAAAGCAAUUGUUUGGGGAUGAGUCUGCGGACCAUUAGCUUGUUGGUGGGGUAAAGGCCUACCAAGGCUGCGAUGGUUAGCUGGUCUGAGAGGAUGAUCAGUCACACUGGAACUGGAACACGGUCCAGACUCCUACGGGAGGCAGCAGUGAGGAAUUUUGCGCAAUGGGGGAAACCCUGACGCAGCAACGCCGCGUGAGUGAAGAAGGCCUUUGGGUCGUAAAGCUCUGUC